CCUACGGGAGGCAGCAGUCGGGAAUUUUGCACAAUGGACGAAACUCUGAUGCAGCGACGCCGCGUGCAGGAAGAAGGUUUUCGGAUUGUAAACUGCUUUAGACAGGGAAGAAACACGACAGUACCUGUAGCAUAAGCUCCGGCUAACUACUUGCCAGCAGCCGCGGUAAUACGUAGGGAGCCAGCGUUAGCCGGAUUUAUUGGGCGUAAGGGGUGCGUAGACGGGUAUAUAAGUUAGUUGUGAAAGACCUCCGCUCAACUGAGGAACUGCAACGAAAACUGUAAGUCUUGAGGGCGGGAGAGGAAAGGGGAAUUCCUAGUGAAGCGGAGAAAGGGGUAGAUAUUAGGAGGAAAACAAGUGGCGAGGGCGAC
rnacentral:rRNA from 1 species